CAUGCAAGUCGAGCGAACAGAUAAGGAGCUUGCUCCUUUGACGUUAGCGGCGGACGGGUGAGUAACACGUGGGUAACCUACCUAUAAGACUGGAAUAACUCCGGGAAACCGGGGCUAAUGCCGGAUAACAUUUAGAACCGCAUGGUUCUAAAGUGAAAGAUGGUUUUGCUAUCACUUAUAGAUGGACCCGCGCCGUAUUAGCUAGUUGGUAAGGUAACGGCUUACCAAGGCAACGAUACGUAGCCGACCUGAGAGGGUGAUCGGCCACACUGGAACUGAGACACGGUCCAGACUCCUACGGGAGGCAGCAGUAGGGAAUCUUCCGCAAUGGGCGAAAGCCUGACGGAGCAACGCCGCGUGAGUGAUGAAGGUCUUCGGAUCGUAAAACUCUGUUAUUAGGGAAGAACAAAUGUGUAAGUAACUAUGCACGUCUUGACGGUACCUAAUCAGAAAGCCACGGCUAA
rnacentral:rRNA from 1 species